AGGGUUUGAUUAUGGCUCAGAUUGAACGCUGGCGGCAUGCCUCACACAUGCAAGUCGAACGGCAGCACGGGGGCAACCCUGGUGGCGAGUGGCGAACGGGUGAGUAAUACAUCGGAACGUGUCCUGUAGUGGGGGAUAGCCCGGCGAAAGCCGGAUUAAUACCGCAUACGCUCUGCGGAGGAAAGCGGGGGCUCCUUCGGGACCUCGCGCUACAGGGGCGGCCGAUGGCAGAUUAGCUAGUUGGUGGGGUAAAGGCCUACCAAGGCGACGAUCUGUAGCUGGUCUGAGAGGACGACCAGCCACACUGGGACUGAGACACGGCCCAGACUCCUACGGGAGGCAGCAGUGGGGAAUUUUGGACAAUGGGCGCAAGCCUGAUCCAGCAAUGCCGCGUGUGUGAAGAAGGCCUUCGGGUUGUAAAGCACUUUUGUCCGGAAAGAAAACCUCAGCCCUAAUACGGCGGGGGGAUGACGGUACCGGAAGAAUAAGCACCGGCUAACUACGUGCCAGCAGCCGCGGUAAUACGUAGGGUGCAAGCGUUAAUCGGAAUUACUGGGCGUAAAGCGUGCGCAGGCGGUCCGCUAAGACAGAUGUGAAAUCCCCGGGCUUAACCUGGGAACUGCAUUUGUGACUGGCGGGCUAGAGUAUGGCAGAGGGGGGUAGAAUUCCACGUGUAGCAGUGAAAUGCGUAGAGAUGUGGAGGAAUACCGAUGGCGAAGGCAGCCCCCUAGGCCAAUACUGACGCUCAUGCACGAAAGCGUGGGGAGCAAACAGGAUUAGAUACCCUGGUAGUCCACGCCCUAAACGAUGUCAACUAGUUGUCGGGCCUUCAUUGGCUUGGUAACGUAGCUAACGCGUGAAGUUGACCGCCUGGGGAGUACGGUCGCAAGAUUAAAACUCAAAGGAAUUGACGGGGACCCGCACAAGCGGUGGAUGAUGUGGAUUAAUUCG
rnacentral:rRNA from 1 species